rnacentral:rRNA from 1 species
UGGGGAAUCUUGGACAAUGGGGGCAACCCUGAUCCAGCCAUGCCGCGUGAGUGAUGAAGGCCUUAGGGUCGUAAAGCUCUUUCGCCUGUGAAGAUAAUGACGGUAGCAGGUAAAGAAACCCCGGCUAACUCCGUGCCAGCAGCCGCGGUAAUACGGAGGGGGUUAGCGUUGUUCGGAAUUACUGGGCGUAAAGCGCACGUAGGCGGACCAGAAAGUUGGGGGUGAAAUCCCGGGGGCUCAACCCCGGAACUGCCUCCAAAACUAUUGGUCUAGAGUUCGAGAGAGGUGAGUGGAAUUCCAAGUGUAGAGGUGAAAUUCGUAGAUAUUUGGAGGAACACCAGUGGCGAAGGCGGCUCACUGGCUCGAUACUGACGCUGAGGUGCGAAAGUGUGGGGAGCAAACAGGAUUAGAUACCCUGGUAGUCCACACCGUAAAACGAUGAAUGCCAGUCGUCGGGUAGCAUGCUAUUCGGUGACACACCUAACGGAUUAAGCAUUCCGCCUGGGGAGUACGGCC